rnacentral:rRNA from 1 species
UACGAAGGGGGCUAGCGUUGCUCGGAAUUACUGGGCGUAAAGGGCGCGUAGGCGGAUGUCUAAGUUGGGGGUGAAAUCCCGGGGCUCAACCUCGGAAUUGCCUUCAAAACUGGAUAUCUUGAGUUCGGGAGAGGUGAGUGGAACUCCGAGUGUAGAGGUGAAAUUCGUAGAUAUUCGGAAGAGCACCAGUGGCGAAGGCGACUCACUGGCCCGAUACUGACGCUGAGGCGACGAAAGCGUGGGGGAGCAAACAGG